ACUCCUACGGGAGGCAGCAGUGGGGGAAUCUUGGACAAUGGGCGCAAGCCUGAUCCAGCCAUGCCGCGUGAGUGAUGAAGGCCCUAGGGUCGUAAAAGCUCUUUCGCCAGGGAUGAUAAUGACAGUACCUGGUAAAGAAACCCCGGCUAACUCCGUGCCAGCAGCCGCGGUAAUACGGAGGGGGUUAGCGUUGUUCGGAAUUACUGGGGCGUAAAGCGCGCGUAGGCGGAUUAGUCAGUCAGAGGUGAAAUCCCCGGGGGCUCAACCCCGGAACUGCCUUUGAUACUGCUAGUCUUGAGUUUCGAGAGAGGUGAGUGGAAUUCCGAGUGUAGAGGUGAAAUUCGUAGAUAUUCGGAGGAACACCAGUGGCGAAGGCGGCUCACUGGCUCGAUACUGACGCUGAGGUGCGAAAGUGUGGGGAGCAAACAGGAUUAGAUACCCUGGUAGGAUAGCG
rnacentral:rRNA from 1 species